AUCAAAUAAACUGCCUGCAGAGCAUAGAGAGACAGAUUUGUGUCGAGGCACAGAUCUGGGGACAGAUAAAAAAAGAAAAAAAUGUAAUUAAGGUUUCCAAGAGCACAGUGGCUUCCAUAAUUCUUAAAUGGAAUAAGUUUUGAACAAUCAGGAGUCUCUUUAAAGUUGGCAGCCCAGCCAAUCUGAGCAACUGUGGCAGGAUGACUAUGGUUUGAGAGGUGACCAAGAACCCGAUGAUCAAUCUGGGUGAGCGUCAGUGAUUAUUUUUGGAAAAUUGAAGAAGCAUGAGGAAGACAAUCCUUACUGCAACAAUCUACAGAUCUGGCCUUUAUGUCAGAUUGGACAGAUGGAAGCCUUUUCUCACUGCACAACACAUAAAAUCCCACUGGGAAUUUGCAAAACAGAAAAGCAGCAUGCUGUGAGAACAAAAGAUUCUCUGAUUUGAAGAUUAAACUGUUUGGCCUCAAUCCAGUCAUGUGUGGAGGAAACCAGUCACCACUCAUCGCCUGCACAAUACCAUCCCUACAGUGAAGCAUGGUGAUGGCAGCAUCAUGCUUUGGUGGUGUUUUCAGGGGCAGGGACUUGGAUAUUGGUCAGGGCUAAAGGAAUCAAAAUACAGAGAUAUCCUUAAUUAAGACCUGCUCCAGAGUGCCAAGGACUUCAGACUGUGGCAUUUUUAACAGGACAGUGACCCUAAGCACACAGCCAAGACAACACAAGAGUCUCCUAAGUACAACUCUGUAAAUGUCCUUCAGUGGCCCAGCC